CUCUGAAGUUCAAUCAAAAGCCACUCACUCACGUGACUCAACAUCCCUAACCUAUCUUCCAUGUCUCUCUCACGCCCACAGUCCCACGGCGCGGCCUCUCUAAUUUUCUCACCAAAUCAUCGAUAUUGCCCAACGUCGAUAGCCGAUUUUCCAUGGUCAAGGGUCGUUGGUAAAUCCUCUCUUAAUUUCAUGCUUUUUCCAUUGAUUUUCAUUUGGUUGAUUGGUUCUUUCCAAUUGUACUUUGAGUAUUCUUUAUUUUGUCUGUGCGGUUUCAAUUGGAUCAUCUCUAAGUCUUGUAUCUGCAUAGGUUAUAUGGAGACCGAAGACCCAGAAGAAUUUUUAGAAAGAGAAAGAAAUAAUUUCGGAGGAAGAGAGGAAUUUAGAGAAAGAAUGAUUUAGAUUUGAAUUGUGGUGACCGAAGACCCAGAAAAACAGGCGCCCAAUAGUCGUCUCCAAGUUUUUUUUUCAUCGUUUUGGGCAAGUCUUGGAGGGGUUUUUGGUAGUCCGAAUAACGAUCAAGAAGAAAAAGAAGAAGAUUUAGAAAUGGCUUCAAAAGCUGUUGUUAAAGAACAACCCAGAGGCGACAAUAGUAAGUGAAAAUAAUCCAAUUUUGUAACAUCGAUCAUAGAUUCAUUCUUUGCUAUUUCCUUUUUAAUGGAUAAUGGAGGGUCUCUUAUGGUGAUUUGGACUGAGUUUUGAAGGGAUUAUUUAUCAAUUUUGGGAUGCACUAUUUUUCCUUUCUUUACGUUGAUUAAUUACUGCUGCAGACCAAUCAGACCAAAAGAUUAUUAUCAAUUAAGUUAGGUUAUUUAAGUGUAAUAUGAUAAGGACAACAUUGCAAGAUUAACUGACCCUUCUUAGUUGAUACUGGAUGAGCGGUGUCAUUCUGUUAUGUGGUGGGAGUUUGAAUAAAGUGUUUCAUUUUUAGAGUUGCAGCAGGCAUAUUGGGAUGGCUGAUUAAUGGCCAAUAAUUUUUAGUGUUUCAUCAAUCUGCUCAAGUUGUAAUGAGUAUUCUAUUGUAACUUUUUUCUGGGAACAUUAUCUCCAUCCUCUUUUUGAUGGAAGAAUGCAUCUCUUUAGAAGUUCAUGCUGUAAAUGUAAGUUAUUGUUGAAUAAUACUUCGCUCAUCUCUCUUCUCACUUCAUGUCUGUUAAAUAGGUUGAGUAAUACACUUAAAUCUGGAGGCGGCUAAAUUAUUGGACAUGGGAUGGAUGAUUGUUGUGAUGUGGUCGAGACUGAAAAUCUGACUGUUAUCGGUAUGUUUUGUGUUAGAGAUUCCAUUUAUUGGCUUUCUUCUUGUUACACUUUUUUAACCAGAUUUUGUAGAUAUAGAAUUUAAAUUUCAGUAACAUGAUAUAUAUAAAUUUACUCAACAUUCUGUAACUUCGCUUUUUCCACAGUGGUUUUUCCACAUUUUUUGUUUUACAUGGUGUUAACUAGAAGGAGAGUUGAAACAGGGUGAAGUAGGGGAAGUGUGGUAAGAGUUGAGAAGGGGAGGAAAUGGCUGAGAUUGCUACUAUCUGAAGUAGGGAGGUCAAAGUCACUAGACGGAGUUUCUACUGGGCAGCAGCGAUAGUGCCAACCUGGGGAAGCAUUGGCGGAAUGGAGGUCUUCUUGGCAUUAGUCAAGUGUUAUCUCAGCAUGAUAUUAGUCACGUGUUAUCUCUGUAUUUUUGUCUUACACUUACGCCUUGAGGCAUUCAUCACAUGAGAAAUCAAGAUGCUGGAUUGAGGAGGAAAAUCUGCAGACAGAUACAGGGAUUGAUACAUAAAAACUGUCAACAAGCCUGAAGUGAUUGACAUUAUAUUGCCCUUAUUUAUUGAAAGUCUAGAAGAGGGUGAUGCUUUAACUCUUGUUAUUUAUUGACCUUUUUACUUGUGUAAGAAAGAAAAACAUGCCUAUAUUUUUCUUUGCUUUUAGAAUUUUAGAUCUGGAUUUUGUACGGAUAUUGUUACAUUUUUUAGUUCAAUUAAUAAUUACUAUUGGAGUUAUUUGAGAUAGUUAUCUUCUA
rnacentral:lncRNA from 1 species